AACAACUCCAGGUGUAUUCAGCUGUGGGGGACCAGAUAGUGAGAAAUGAGGCCUAACUGGCCUCCUCUGUGAGCGCAAAGGAGAAGGGAACAGAUUCAUAGGCUGGUUCUUGGAAGUGGUUCCCAAACAGGGACCGGACCAGGGAAGUCCACCUGGGGGAGAAAUGUAGUAAGUCAGCUACAGGGAAUUCCACAGUGGAGAGGAGUUGGCCGGCAAGAGAAAUACACAAAAAGAAAAGCAA
rnacentral:lncRNA from 1 species